rnacentral:lncRNA from 1 species
UGAUAACCAGAAUGAAUUUUAGGCUAUCCCAAUCUCAUAUGGAUGGCAUCAAUCUGUUCAAGUGUCUCAGCAAUUUCUGUCAUUGAUGGCCGGAAGCGGGACUCCUGUUGAAGACAUUUAAUAGCAAGGUGAGCUAUUUGGGAAGCCUCUUUAGGAGGAUAUUUACCUUCCAACCGGGAGUCCAUUAUUUUUUUCAACUUUCUUCUGUUUGUCAGAUAAGGUUUAACCCAGUCAACAAGUAUCUGUUUCCCACUUGGACGUUUCAUGUCGAUUGCACGUAAACCAGUUAGCAUCUCAACAACAACAACUCCAAACCCGUAUACAUCACUCUUCACAUGCAAAUGUCCUAACCAACCAGCAGACCAGUUAGAGCAUGAAAUUAAGGUCAUGACAUAAGUUUUUAAAUCAGUUGUAAUCAAAGAGGUUGAAAACAAACUUAAACAACCAACACCAAUGUCAGAGAAAUUCAAUUUCAGAAGGAAUAAUAAGUACCUGUUGCAAGAUAUUCCGGAUCAAUGUAACCCAUCGUGCCUGCAAUUCUUGUACUGACAUGUGAAUCAAUCAAGGGACCCCAAAAUGACAAGCCAAAGUCUGAUAGCUUCGCGUUAUAGAACUAAAAUAAAAGGAGAAUUUGGAAGCAAAUAAGUCCUCUUGAAUAAUAAAACAAACACGUUCGGAAAGAUAACACUUUUUUUGCAUUCUCCAAUAACUAUUUUUUAUGAACUGGAAAUAACUCAUGGCAGGAGGAAAAGGAAUGUUCAGAUGGGUACAAGACUCUACAUAAAAAUUAUCAUACCACAAUGGCAAGAAAUUGGUCCAAUCAAUGGUGGAGUCAUGAAAUAGCAUCCAUAAUUUGUUAGAAAAUUAUAUAAAUUAUAUCUUGGAGUCUCACUUAAUAGCUUAAAUUUUUAGGCAAGAUAGUUAUUUGAUAUAGUAUCAAAGCCUUGUUGAUCAAGCGGUCACGAGUUCAAAUUUCACCAUCCUCAUUCUAUUUGAUAAAAAUUAAACACAAGGUAGAAUGGAUCUAUGCAAGUUUCAAACCCAAAAGGUUUUCACUUGAGGAGGUGUGUUAUAAAGUAAUAUAAAACUAUUCUUGAGACCUCAUCUAAUAACUUAAUCUUUUUGAUGAAGUGGUUCUUUAACAUGAUAUCAGAACCUUUUUGACCAAGAAGUCACGAGUUUAAAUCUCACUACCCCCAUUCUAUUUGAUAAAAAUUAAACACAAAAUAAUAUAGGCCUAUAUAAAUCAUAUCUUGAAAUCUCACCUACUAGUUUAAAUUUUUAGGUUAAGAUAGUUCUUUGACAUAAUUUCUAUAUUUCUGAGUUACAAUCUACAAGCUUCAUAGAAAACUUGCCUCAUCCAGUAGUAUAUUUGAGGACUUGAAAUCUCGGUAAAUUAUUGGUUUUUCCAAUGUGUGCAAGUAAGCCAGACCACGAGCAGUAUCUAUAGCAAUCUUGAGCCUAAUGUCCCAUGAAAGUGGUGGAACUGAGCGCUCUUAAAACAUGGAAAACAUGUAGAGAAUUAAGGAAAUGAAUAUUUAGAUGCAGAAGUGUAGGUUCUGCAAAAUGCUAAAAUUUACAAGCAGUCAUAAAUGUCUCUUACUUCCAAAGAGAUGGUAAUUUAAGCUUCCCUUUUUCAUGAAUUCAUAGACAAGGAUGCGCUCUCUACUUUCCGAACAAUAUCCCAAUAGCUUUACUAGGUUUGGGUGAGAAUGUGUUCCUAAGAAAUACACCUCAGCCUGCACCAACACAUGGACAAAUGAUUAAGCAAACAACUUAUACUGCUUAAAACAAAGAACUAGCUCCCGAAAGAGCACAUGCAUUUGGGUUAGUGAGGGAAAGACAGAAGGGGAAUGAGAGAGCCAGAGAGAAAUAGAAAAUGGUCACAAUUCCAAAGGUAUGAUAUCAAUAACUCAGAACUCCCUUAACCACCUCAAUAGAUAACUUCAAUUAAUGUACGAAAUCACAAAUACCAUGGAUUUUCUGUUCACUUGUGAAGAUGUCAGACAGAAUUUUUAGAAAUAUAACUUGAGUUAGUCCCAAGUCAUUUUACACAUUCACAUGGGAUAAAUAUUAAAAUGAGCUAUAAACUAUCAUUCCUCUUCCAAAAGACAUCUUGGAAGGUUCAGCAAAGAAAGAAUAUAAUGGAGCCUAUCUUUAAGCACAACAUAGAACAGUAUGACUGUAUGACAGAGAGUAAAUACAAAAUUUGGAAAUCCACAUACCUUCCACUCUUUUAAUCCUUGCAUGCUGAAAGAAUCCAAUUUCUUGAUAGCAACGGCCGUCUUCUUUAUACCCCUUGGAGGCAACUUCUCCUUAAGCCAACCCUUAUAGACAUCGCCAAAACCUCCUUUUCCCAACACCAUAUCAGAUCUAAAAUUAUAUGUUGCAGACCUCAGUUGCGCCAAUGUGAAUACUGUCACGCUUGAGUUGGUAGCAUUUUGCCCGUUUGCUAAAGUCCCAUCACCACUUCCAGUUGCAUCUGAGAAUUGGCUGCUCUCAGGGACAUUUUUACCCCAAAUAGUUGUGAAGCUGCUACUUGGAUGAGACAUCCAUGUUGUAAUGCUAGUGCUUGCUAUUGAGAACCAGCCGUUUCCAAAGUCAUCGCUACCUACAAAACAUGUACGACCAUUGCAUAAGCAUGCAAAACUCAAAUAAUCAGAAAAUGAAGUCACAAACAGAAAUUGGAACCAAUAUUUUCCAAAAAAUAAAAAAAUCUGCGCCCAACUAAUGGAUUUUUUUUUAAUAACUAGUAUUUUAUCCCAUUAGAAAUAUUGUUAAUUCCAUUAGAUUCAGUGAAUAUAUCGUGCGAUUACAGUUAGCAACGCAUUGAAGAGUCGAAAACACAAUGAGCAACCUUGUAAACGUUGCUAAAGGCAAAAGGAUGCCAUCUUAUCAUUGCUUCAAGGAUUGGAGAGACAAUUAGCAACGCCAAAAAGCAUUGACAUCAAUAAAAGGGUAGAGGGGCACCAACAAAAACGACUCAAUCACAGCCACAAACAUGUAAUGAGCAGAGGACAUGUAGUAAAAAAUAUCCAACCAAGUCGAAUGACAGAAGUGUAAGAGCAAAACCAAAACAAAACCAAUUUGAAACAUCCAAUGAAUAGUAGAAUUAAUGUAAAGAGAUGUUGAAAAUGAUUGUGGUGGUACCUGCACUGACAUGGUCGGCGGUGCUUGGUGUUGGGUCUUGAUCUUGUGUUGUAGCUGGCUUGUGAGCUGAACAGCUACAGCAAAUCCCCAUUAAUUAACAGCUGCUGUAAUCUGUGUUUCACUCUUCCCUUCUUGUCGUAAUGACCAUUGAUAUUUCCUGCAGUUCAUGAAAGAGAGGGAGAGGAACAGAAAGUGACCAUGCCAAGGGAACAGACAUCUUUUUUGACGUUGACUUUGAAAAUGGAAGUAGAGCUUGAAUAUCAUUAGGUGGCAGUGCUUCUAACUUACUACUAAAAUAUAUAAAGGUUGAUAGUAUAUUACAGUAUUUCAUCCUUCUAGUUUUUAUGUUUUCUCAAUAUGGUCCUUUGAGUAUUUUAUUAAUAAGUUUUUAGUUGUAUUUUAAUGGAUUAAGAGUCUAUUUGUUUUUACGUUUCAAAAGCGUUUUUAAAAAAUUUUAAAUUUUUAUUUAUUUUUACUUAAAAUUAAAUUUUUUUGGUAUUUUAAAAUCAUUUUGAUAUCAAAAAUAAAUUUUUAAAAAUUAAAAAAAUAUUAUUUCGAUACAUUUCCAAGUAAAACGCACUUUGAAAAACAAUCGGUACCAUAAUAUCUAAUAAGCGAAUAAUUUUAAGUUAAUUAAAAAAAUUAGUAAGCUAAGAAAUGGAUUUUCAUAUAUUUCUCAAUAUAUUUAAUUCCUUAUUUAUUUUCAUUUAUAUAAUGGUUUACUUGUUAAGCAUGCUAAAAAAUUAAAUAGUCCGAAGUGGGACUAGUGUUAUUAACCCAAGCUAGUCCAAUUAAUACAAGACUUAACUCAAGUUGAGUUUCAUAUCAAACUGAGUAAAUAUUAACUCAAUCAAAUCUAGUUAGCAUAGUAAGUCAAACUACAACCCAAUUAACUCACUCAAAAUCUCAAUAAUAUCGAUUUGAUUUUUUUUAAUCUAAAAUGAUAUCUUUUAAAUUUUUUAUAUAUAAAAAACUCUUAUAAUAAUAUUAUUAUCGAUUUAGAUUGACUCAUUCAAUCCAUACUCGAGAGUUUUAGAUCGAAGCAUGAGUUUGACAGAAUCUUAUAACUAUAGCGGGAACUUGCUUAUAUGCGCUGCAUAUAGUCUUUGGAUUGAAGGAACUAUUACUUACAUUUAUUCUUGAAUCAUCAUUGAUAUGAGGUUUAUCAUCAUCACCAGAUAAAACACAUUGAUAUGAGGUAUCAUGCAAUUGAUUAAAUCAUCAUUGAUGGUGUAGUUUCAAAUCAUGAAGUGGCUAUUGCACAGAAUUACAGCUUCUAGGUUCAAUAAAUCAUUUAUCUUUGAAUGUCGUGUUUGAUAAUCAUUAAUGAUCUUCUUUAUUGUAAUUUAAUUCGUCUUAUUAAGAUUUUUCCGAUAAUACAAGAGUGUUGUCUUCAAAGUUUUGAUAUACUUUCAGCAUCUUUUUUUUUUUUCCCUCACAUCUCUCCUCUCUUUCUUGGAAUUUAUGUAAGCUCUUAUUCUAUUUAGCAAAAGUUUUUUUUUUUUUUACCUGUAUUAUUGUCAAAAAACAAAUUUCAAACUAAUUUUCAAAAAUCCAUCUAUUACUUCAAUAGUAUGGUGAAUUAACGGCUGUAACUUCAAAAGUAUGGUGUUUAUGAAUGUUCUUCGUGUCACUGUAACAACAAAUAGGUCUAAUCACUGGAACCGAGUCGCAGCGCAGCAUUCAUAAUAUAACAUCUGCCAUUGAUCUCCUAAAAUGGCUACGGAAAGGUAGAUACAUGAUCAUUAAAAAAAAAAACAAAAUAAACGGAGGGUUUCAGGGAUAAUGUUAUCUGAUUAAGUUACAUAGAACCUUAUCUCGUCCAGGACUAUAUUUGAGGACUUGAAAUCUCUGUAUAUUAUUGGCUAUUCCAAUGUGUGCAAGUAAGCCAGGCCUGUAGCAGUAUCCUUCACAAUCUUCAUCCUCAUAUCCCACGGAAGUGGUGGAACUGGCCGCUCUUCAAACAUGGUAACAAAGAAGAAAGUGAAUGUCUAACCGCAGAAAAUACAAAAUGGGAGAAAGAAAAGUUAUGUCGUGACACCAAAUUGCCUAUUUGUUUGUGCGGCCUAAAUCCACUUUUCCAAUAAAGCAUAAACAGGCUUCCAAUGAUUACAGAUUCUUUGCUAAAAAUACUCAAAUCAAUACAAGUCCAGCAGUGCAAUGACAGAAAUGACUGUAUCACAUUGCCAAGGAAAAUUGAACUACUGCAUGAAUACAACAAAUGAUAAGCGUACAUGGUAAGAUGCGCCAAACACGCCCAACUCUUUCUGCUACAGCUAGUCACAUAAACUCAAAGCAUUUCAUGAUAGCUAAUUAUGUAUUCUCGUGUAAGUUAUAUGAAGAAAGUAUACCAGAGAUCUCUCAUCUGUGAUGACAACUAAUGAAGAAGAGUACUAAAACACUACAAACCACUAUGAUAACCAGAAUGAAUUUUAGGCUAACCCAAUCUCAUAUGGAUGGCAUCAAUCUGUUCGACUGUCUCAGCAAUUUCUGUCAUUGAUGGCCGGAAGCGGGGAUCGUGUUGAAGACAUUUAAUAGCAAGGUGAGCUAUUUGGUAAGCCUCUUUGGGAGGAAAUUUCCCUUUCAACCAGGAGUCCAUUAUAUUUUUCAACUUGCUUCUGUUUGUCAGAUAAGGUUUAGCCCAGUCAACAAGUAUCUGUUUCCCACUUGGACGUUUCAUGUCGAUUGCAUGUAAACCAGUUAGCAUCUCAACCAUAACAACUCCAAACCCGUACACAUCACUCUUCACAUUCAAAUGUCCUAACCAACCAGCACAAC